GGCCGGUUGGCCCAAUGGCAAGGCGUCUGACUACGAAUCAGGAGAUUGUGGGUUCGACCCCCAUGCUGGUCA
rnacentral:tRNA from 7 species